rnacentral:rRNA from 1 species
GUGGGGAAUCUUCCGCAAUGGACGAAAGUCUGACGGAGCAACGCCGCGUGAGUGAUGAAGGUCUUCGGAUUGUAAAGCUCUGUUAAUCGGGACGAAAGAGCCUAGUGUGAAUAAUGCUAGGAAGUGACGGUACCGGAAUAGAAAGCCACGGCUAACUACGUGCCAGCAGCCGCGGUAAUACGUAGGUGGCAAGCGUUGUCCGGAAUUAUUGGGCGUAAAGCGCGCGCAGGCGGAUCUGCCAGUCUGUCUUAAAAGUUCGGGGCUUAACCCCGUGAUGGGAUGGAAACUACAGAUCUAGAGUAGCGGAGAGGAAAGUGGAAUUCCUAGUGUAGCGGUGAAAUGCGUAGAUAUUAGGAAGAACACCAGUGGCGAAGGCGACUUUCUGGACGAAAACUGACGCUGAGGCGCGAAAGCCAGGGGAGCGAACGGGAUUAGAAACCCUGGUAGUCC